GGUCCCCCGCUUUCAAUCCCCGACCCUAUGACGCCUUUCAACUCCGCCACUGACGCCUUUCAACUCCGCCCAGGCCUCGCGUCGGAGUUCAUGCGCGACCCGGUCAAGGUGCGGAUCGGCGCGGAAGGUUUGAAAGCGUCGCACUCGAUCACGCAGAUCGUGGAGGUGGUCGAGCCGAACGAUAAAGACUCGCAUCUCACUCGUCUCCUCAAGAAGUACUGCGGCGGUCAGACCCCGACGCCUCGGACGCUCAUCUUCGCGUUGUAUAAGAAGGAGUGCGCGCGCGUCGCGGAGAACUUGAGGCGCGUUCUAUGUCUUUAUUUCAAACUGGUCCCCAUACGGCCCCGUUCGCGUGGUGAACGCGAUUCCUUGAGGACUUUACUUCCCGGCGCAUCUCUCCGCUCAUCACCCCUCGGUUUCAAUCCCCGCCUUCGACGCCUUUCAACUCCACCCCUGACGCCUUUCAACUCCACCCCGACAUCGUCGCUCGUACGGAACGACCCUCAGACGCCAAAACUGGGCGUGCGUCCCGAUCCACGGCGACAUGACGCAACGAGAUCGCGAGGAGUCCGUCGCCGCGUUUAAGGACGGGUCGAAGCCCUUGCUCGUCGCCACCGACGUCGCCGCGCGAGGAUUAGACAUCAAAGGCGUGGAGUACGUUAUCAACUACACGUUCCCGCUGACCACGGAGGAUUACGUGCACAGGAUCGGACGCACGGGUCGGGCGGGGAAGACGGGCAUCG
rnacentral:lncRNA from 1 species